ACGUGAUAACUCGUAUUACUCUUCGUGAGUGUAAUCGACGACGCGCAACGAAGCCGGAGAUCAUAGCUACCAUAGUCUGUACUUAUUAUGUUUUACGACGGCUUAUUUAUUAUACUCGUCCAAAUAAAAUGAUGUAAUCGACAGAAAUCAUAACGUACGAAAACCCUUCGCCCUUUGGAGUACUACACGUCUGCGCGACUAUUGUACGGAUGAAGUGAAAUAAUUUUCAAAUAUUGUUUUACCAUUUCGUAAUGCAUACAAAUAUGGUUUACAACAGGUAUUUACGAGUAAUUUGGCUUUAACCUUCUGACAAAUUGGCAGUUAUAAAAUUUGACAGUGAAAAUAGGUAAGUGGCAUGAUAAAAUCUUACCCUUUAAUUAUAGUGAUAUCACAGAACAAAUUAAAUAACCUUCAUCUAUUAUGUGAUGAUAUCAUAAUACAUUUUUUUCACAUAGAAAUUUUGAUAAAUUUGACUAAAGCAGCAGCAUACAAAUUUACAAGCAUUAUUCAUAAUAUUCUUACCCAUUUUAUAAAUGUUUUCUACACAUA